UCCUUACAGCUGAGCCAACCUAAAUGUGCAGUCCCAUCUCUCCCAAAGAUCCCAGGCCAGCCGGAGCUGAAUGCAAGAACUAUUUAAGAAGCCUCAGCUCCUCUUCACUCCCAGGAAGGAUGAAGGCGAAUGGACACAUUUUGAUCAGAGACCACAAAAUCCUGCGAAGGCAUCAGAAAUGGAAGAGCUCCAGGGUGAAAAGAG
rnacentral:lncRNA from 1 species